CUGCUAUCACAAGUAUUUUCAAUGAGAAAUCUAACAAAAGACUCUCGGUCACAUUCUACUUUACUCCUUUUUCUGAUUGAAUUUCUGCGGUACUUACAUGUUUCUAUUAAUGGCGUGCUACCAAAAUAGUUGAUGCAGUUAACCCCUUUGCCUUUUGAAAUUAGAUCUGUAGCCAGCGGAAACCUUUCGUGUCGUAUAGCCUUGAA
rnacentral:lncRNA from 1 species